AGCAUGCAGCUACCAUCAAUCUUCUGGCAGCAGAGUGUUGCAGACUUUAUUGCUGAAUCUAUCCAGCAUUUGCCGAUUGAUAUGUAGCUGCCACGUGUUGUUUUUUAAGUUAACCAGUAGUCCUGUGUUUAAGGAGCUACUUCUGAUCUCUUUGUGACCUUAUAUUACCCCAGAUGUUAUGAAUUGCCGGUCUUGAUAAAGGUCCAUUGUUAGGACUGAAACGUCGAUUGUUAAAGGCAACAUCACUGAGUCCGAUUAAACUGAAUGAU